rnacentral:rRNA from 1 species
UACGUAGGUGGCGAGCGUUACUCGGAAUUACUGGGCGUAAAGCGUGCGCAGGCGGUUUUGUAAGACAGGCGUGAAAUCCCCGGGCUCAACCUGGGAACUGCGCUUGUGACUGCAAGGCUAGAGUACGGCAGAGGGAAGCGGAAUUCCGCAUGUAGCGGUGAAAUGCGUAGAUAUGCGGAGGAACACCGAUGGCGAAGGCAAUCCCCUGGGCCUGCACUGACGCUCAUGCACGAAAGCGUGGGGAGCAAACAGG